rnacentral:rRNA from 1 species
AUACGGAGGGUGCAAGCGUUGUGCGGAAUCACUGGGCGUAAAGGGCGCGCAGGCGGUUUGGUAAGUCAGAUGUGAAAGCCCACGGCUCAACCGUGGAAGUGCAUUGAAACUGUCAGACUUGAGUACUAGAGGGGAAAGUGGAAUUCCCGGUGUAGAGGUGAAAUUCGUAGAUAUCGGGAGGAAUACCGGUGGCGAAGGCGACUUUCUGGCUAGAUACUGACGCUGAGGCGCGAAAGCGUGGGGAGCAAACAGGAUUAGAAACCCGAGUAGUCC